GGCGGGACACGUGGUAUCCUGUCUGAAUAUGGGGGGACCAUCCUCCAAGGCUAAAUACUCCUGACUGACCGAUAGUGAACCAGUACCGUGAGGGAAAGGCGAAAAGAACCCCGGCGAGGGGAGUGAAAAAGAACCUGAAACCGUGUACGUACAAGCAGUGGGAGCACAGGUUUACCUGUGUGACUGCGUACCUUUUGUAUAAUGGGUCAGCGACUUAUAUUCUGUAGCAAGGUUAACCGUAUAGGGGAGCCGGAGGGAAACCGAGUCUUAAUUGGGCGUUAAGUUGCAGGGUAUAGACCCGAAACCCGGUGAUCUAGCCAUGGGCAGGUUGAAGGUUGGGUAACACUAACUGGAGGACCGAACCGACUAAUGUUGAAAAAUUAGCGGAUGACCUGUGGCUGGGGGUGAAAGGCCAAUCAAACCGGGAGAUAGCUGGUUCUCCCCGAAAGCUAUUUAGGUAGCGCCUCGUGAAUUCAUCUCCGGGGGUAGAGCACUGUUUCGGCUAGGGGGCCAUCCCGGCUUACCAACCCGAUGCAAACUGCGAAUACCGGAGAAUGUUAUCACGGGAGACACACGGCGGGUGCUAACGUCCGUCGUGAAGAGGGAAACAACCCAGACCGCCAGCUAAGGUCCCAAAGUCAUGGUUAAGUGGGAAACGAUGUGGGAAGGCCCAGACAGCCAGGAUGUUGGCUUAGAAGCAGCCAUCAUUUAAAGAAAGCGUAAUAGCUCACUGGUCGAGUCGGCCUGCGCGGAAGAUGUAACGGGGCUAAACCAUGCACCGAAGCUGCGGCAGCGACGCUUAUGCGUUGUUGGGUAGGGGAGCGUUCUGUAAGCCUGUGAAGGUGUGUCGUGAGGCAUGCUGGAGGUAUCAGAAGUGCGAAUGCUGACAUAAGUAACGAUAAAGCGGGUGAAAAGCCCGCUCGCCGGAAGACCAAGGGUUCCUGUCCAACGUUAAUCGGGGCAGGGUGAGUCGACCCCUAAGGCGAGGCCGAAAGGCGUAGUCGAUGGGAAACGGGUUAAUAUUCCCGUACUUGGUGUUACUGCGAAGGGGGGACGGAGAAGGCUAUGUUGGCCGGGCGACGGUUGUCCCGGUUUAAGCGUGUAGGUGUGUGUUCCAGGUAAAUCCGGUUCACUUUAACACUGAGGCGUGAUGACGAGGCACUACGGUGCUGAAGUAACAAAUGCCCUGCUUCCAGGAAAAGCCUCUAAGCAUCAGGUAACAUCAAAUCGUACCCCAAACCGACACAGGUGGUCAGGUAGAGAAUACCAAGGCGCUUGAGAGAACUCGGGUGAAGGAACUAGGCAAAAUGGUGCCGUAACUUCGGGAGAAGGCACGCUGACACGUAGGUGAAGUGAUUUACUCACGGAGCUGAAGUCAGUCGAAGAUACCAGCUGGCUGCAACUGUUUAUUAAAAACACAGCACUGUGCAAACACGAAAGUGGACGUAUACGGUGUGACGCCUGCCCGGUGCCGGAAGGUUAAUUGAUGGGGUCAGCGCAAGCGAAGCUCCUGAUCGAAGCCCCGGUAAACGGCGGCCGUAACUAUAACGGUCCUAAGGUAGCGAAAUUCCUUGUCGGGUAAGUUCCGACCUGCACGAAUGGCGUAAUGAUGGCCAGGCUGUCUCCACCCGAGACUCAGUGAAAUUGAACUCGCUGUGAAGAUGCAGUGUACCCGCGGCAAGACGGAAAGACCCCGUGAACCUUUACUAUAGCUUGACACUGAACAUUGAGCCUUGAUGUGUAGGAUAGGUGGGAGGCUUUGAAGUGUGGACGCCAGUCUGCAUGGAGCCGACCUUGAAAUACCACCCUUUAAUGUUUGAUGUUCUAACGUGGACCCGUUA
rnacentral:rRNA from 1 species